rnacentral:lncRNA from 1 species
GCACCCCAAAUUCUCAGGGUAUGCUAUUUUACCCAAAUACUUGAAAGGAAAAAGGUGCCCUGUAUUUUAUCAGUACUGUUGAGGGGAAAAAUUAUGUGUAGGUUUGUUUUAGAAAACUACUUAUAAAGAUCAAAUUCACAGAAUAUGUUAGGCUUUUACAUGAUUCCUAAAGAGGUAUAUGUAGAGAUAUGAUAUAUAUUUUCAAGAGAUUGUUUCUAUAUUCUUAAUUAAUUUCUGGGUCCUAAGUAGACCUCACAGGUGCAUAAAAUCAUUAAUAAAGCAUGUAGCAUUUGCUAAGUUGUACCUUGAGUUUGAAUCUAAUAAGAAUUGCAGACUCCAGUCCUCUGGGGGGAAAAUAGAAACACAGGUCCGUCUGUGGCAUGUGUGAUUACAAGGCCCAGGGGAGGAUUCUGAAAA